UAAAACAAAAGAGUUUUUUGUAUUUUGGUCAUUUGGUUCUUCUGCAGUGAACUUCUGAACUUCGACACCAGAUAAAACAUGUUGUUUGUGGCCCACUACAGAUAAGCAGUAACUUCAAAAAAGCUUUUAUAAAAACCAAAGCAGGCUCUCUUAAGCAGAUAACGGAAAUAAGAAUUGAAAUGCAUAAAGACAAACCACAGAAGUACAAAGCAAAGGAGUGAUGAAGAAGAAGAAGACGAUAAUAUUUGUGUCAGAUUAUCACAUUUUGAAGUUCUAGUCUGUUUCACUAACAAACACAACUAUAGAGAUGGGCAUUCAGAUCGAAUUGGGUUUGAAUUUGGAGUUUAAUUUGGAUCGCAUCUCGGAUUAUCAACAAGUUAUUUGCUCUAUUCAAAUCCCCAGAAAAUCAACAAAUCAAGAUUUGAAUUGGGAGAAACCGUGAAUGCGUAUACCUUGAGAUGAACAAUGCCGAUGGUUUUGUGGUGUUUCCUGCGGCCACGGCCACUACAGCUAUACAUCCUCGAUAAACGAUCAGUAGAAUUAUCUCCGAUUAGCCUCACAUCGUCGGAAGGAGACAGCAGAUUCACAUUCUCCGGCCGGCGGAUCUUGGAGUAAGACAAGAUUCCGUCGCGGAGGAGGAACCACCUGGAUCUCCACCCUUUCCCGUAGUUAGUCCACUUGUGGAGGAUCCCGGCGACCGAUCUCCCCGAUGAUAGAUUCUGCCGAUCGGAUCCACCGUUCUCCGCUAUCGCAUCCGUUGAUGGGAGACUCUUCGAUCUAGUCAAAGGCAUCGCCGAUUCGGGAGGAGUCUCGCAAUAUUUUAACAAAAUCGCGAUACGAAGCGCAUUGAUUUUUGAGAUUAUGCUUCGAGAUCGGAGAUAGAGUGGUAAUCCGAUUGACGAAGGCGACCGAUUCUGUAAACUUCAGAUUUUUCGCAGAGAUUCGUGGAAAUUGAACGAGUGAGAUUGCGUAGGACUUGAAAGAAACUUGACUGAGACCUUUAUAUAUGGUCUUAUGCGAAUAUAUACAUACAUUUACACUUUUAAUUAUGAUAACUGGAUUUAAUUAGUGUUUUAUUUACAUUAUUAUGUAUAAUUCUUAAUGGAAAUAAUUUGAAGAAAUGUUGAAAGA